rnacentral:lncRNA from 1 species
AGUCAUGACGUCAUCUCUGUGAACAAGUUACAUAUGAUGACUAAAUCUUAGGAUGCUGAUAGUUCACUCAUUGUCUGGUUCACCUUUAUCUCUGAGUGUGAAUUAGUAGUUUUUAAUAGAAUUUCGUAUAGAUUCAGUGUUGUUUGUUUAGCUUCAGUUUAACAUAUGGGGUGCUAUAGGUUCUCUGUCACUUUCUAGGAAAAUGAGUCAAAUGUUGCAUCAUUUAUUUGCCAUAGUCAACAUCAGUAUUUCUAUCAUAACUUCAUAAGUACGACACCACAUAAGAUGGUAUAUCAUUUUUCUCAUCGUUAAUAUUUUCAAUACUUGAAACAAAAGGUAAUAAAAGAAAGUGUUGUAGACACUUGAGAAUCAUGAGUUUUUUUUAACCUUAAACAGAUAACCUGCUGAACUUUGUUUUAAUUAUUUUCUUAGGUUGAGCUUCAGCUUUUAUAAAAAGGGAAAGUUCCCUAAUUAGAGUGGCACCUUCGACUUUAUCUUGCUUCCUUUUUUGUUUGUGUUUUUUCUUUCUUCUUUUUUCUUUGUAUAAAAAAACUUCAGUUUUUAAGACAGAGAAACAAGGUCUGUAUAAGGGAAUCCAUGGCAAUGGCUGAGAAGCAUAAUACAGAAACACAGAUUAGCAACCAUUAGACAAAGUAGUCAGCCUCACUCCACAGCAGCUAACAGAGACAUCCUAAUAGAAGCAAGGGAAUAAUCCCUAAAAACAAUGGUACCUGGUGCUCAUAAUGCAGAUCAACAUGUUGCAAUUGAUCCCAAAAAAUAUUUUGUGCCCACCCCUCAUCUACCCUCAAAAGUUACUGCUACACCCCAUCCAUAAAGCCCAAAAGCAACGUGCAAGUCCAUAGUGCUUUAGCUUUCUUCCUUUUUCCCGAAGCCUGGAUACAAGUGCUUAAGACUCCUUUGAAAUAACCUGACUAGCUCCAGCCUCCCUAAGCAACUUUCACCAUAAUUAGAAGGAUUAAGGGCACUAGAGAAGAACAUUCAAGCUCUGCCGCCCAGCUUUACAUGAAAUGCUUUGAUUUGUACAAGAUCACAUCUGUUGACCUCGCAAGAGCAACCAACCAAACAGACACUCUUACUUUUGGAGGGACCUUGAACAGUUUGGCUGAUUUGUCAUUGUUUUGUGCAUUAACUGGAGUUCAGACAGACUGGCUACCUUUUCACUCUGUUUCGAGAUCUAUCCUCCUAUUCUUUUUUUUUUUGAAUAAAAAAAGUCACCCGGUGGGAAUCCUCCUAUCUUUGAUAUAUGUGGAAUGAAGAUUGUAAAUUAACUGAGCUUAAUUAGAAUCUGUGAACUAUAGGCAUUUCUGAUCCAGUAAUAUUAACUGUGAAAUUCUCAACCUACCGAUACUUUUUUCUUUGCCAACAGGAUGAGGUGUUGUAUGAAGUCAAUGCAAAUACUGAAAGUUGGAUGGUAGCUGGGAGGAAAAGAGGGCACAUCACUCUCUCUGCAAAUGAAGGUUUAUGAAUUACUUAGUUCUAUGUAUUUGUUUAGAAAUUCCCUAUUUGAUUUUUCCAAGGAGAUUAUCUUCUGGCUCAUAAAUAAGAUACCUGUUUUCUUCAUCUCUUUGUUAUAACACCUUCCUGAAUGUAUUUUACCACUGACAGGUUCAAGGAUAGAGAUUUCAAUACUAUGUGUGCCUCUGGUGGCGGGAUAUGUUCGUCCCCCUCAUCUUGGUCUGCCAGAUGUUGAUGAAUCAAAUAUAAGUUGCAAUCCAGCAGGGCCUCAUUUGGUUUGUGUCUUGCCUCCAACUUUGAGUUCUUCUUUCUGCAUUCCUGCAUGAUUUCUCUCAGCAAAUUUUUUCCUCUCCUGGAUUCAAAGUUGCCUAAAUUUGAGCUCAUCAUAAUUUGCACUCUGUACGGUCAGUGGGACAUGUUCCAGAUACGGUAAUAGAGAUAAACAUAGGUUUCCCAUUUUGAUAUAUACUGGGAAUUUGUAAAGAUGUAAACUCCUGUUUCAUCAGAUAGUUGGAAAAUCAGCUUAGCUGGAACUAGUUUGCAUUAGGAAGAUUCUUCAAACAUUCACUGUGUCCUACACUCCUAUGUCACUUGACAUCCUGCCUUCUGUAUAGCGGAAUUUGUAUUUUCUGUACAACUCAGUCCUAGAGAGAUGCGUAGCAGGACAUUCAUUUUUUGGUUGGUUGUAAAAUUCUUUGUUUUGAUGGAACAUGGAAUUCAGUAGUUUAAAUGAUAGUGCUGGAAAGGUUAUUUGAUUUGUUCGAGGGCUCAGUUGAUGUUAUGGAAGCCAAUGCUGUCAUCUCGUUUCUGGUAAAUGUUAGUAAUUGCUAUGUUUGAUGAAAAUCAACAAAGCUUAUGUGGACUUGAUACUAUAAUCUUGACAAUCUGCAACUCUUGGAACCGGCCGCCCCUGAGAAACAUGUUUUCACGUACUAGUUCACGAGCAUAUUCCAAUCCUCAGAACGCCUUCAAAUACAGAACCGAGAGGAAGUGAAGAAUUUUCAAAUGGUAAUUUUUGUUCGCAAAACCCUUGCAGAUACAACUUUAUUAUGUUUGGGAGACGGGUCUGGUUCAAUGGACCUUUUAUAUAACACAUCGUGUGUAGUUCUACUAGUUUAUUGUACCAGAUACUCACUGAGAGAACAAAAAUAAUAAUUUAAAUACGUCUCGAUGAAACUUUAAAAUACAAACAUGUUGAGUUAUGAGAAGAAAAAAAGAACUAGAAACCUUAACCGACAGAUUGCAUUUCUAUUAUCUCUCUUGAUUCAAGCAAAGAAUACAAAGCAAAAGGAUAAUUCUGAGUUUCACACUUUCACCUAUUUUGAACUCCUCUUAGAAGUUCCAACAAAAUAGUUAUGAUUUCAUGUUUGCUUUGAUCACCAGAAAGGGAACAAAUGCUAUGAUGAAGUGAGAAAAUGAAAUAAUAGUCAAAGGUUCUGUGAUCAUGAAAGUUUAAAAGCGAUUUCCACCUCCAGAAAAGAAAGUGAAUAAAAAGGUCUCUGGUUCCAAUUUCCAAAUACUGCACAAGAAAGGAAAAAAAGGUCCCACCGAGAUUUGAACUCGGGUUACUGGAUUCAGAGUCCAAUGUCCUGACCACUAGACCAUGGGACCAUUGCGGUUACAUCUUUCCUAUAAACGGUUAUAAAUAUUGAAAAAUAUCGUGUGAGAUAAUUUUCUAAAAAAAAAUAAAAGUAAAUAGACAAUCAGAUACACCUGAGGCAUGCAAACCGCAUUCAGAAAAGUAUGAUAAAGUAGUUUAUUAUUGUCUCAACAUCGAAAUUCAAUCAUACCAAAUUAGCAUGCUAUACAUUUGGUUUUAAGCCAGGGCCCAACCUACAUGAGGUACGAAGACCUGAGGCGAAUCUUGAGAAUGAUGUCUUCUAAGUUUUAACGGUCAUAUAUAUGACAAAAAAAAACAAUGACUGUUGCAAAAAAAAUAAAAAAUUUCGCCGAUUACAUACAAAAUACGUAUAAACACAAUAACUAUGCAAUCUUGAAUAUAAAUGUAUGAAAUAUUCUAAUAUUGGUCAAGUAUAAUCAACACGAAAAACCGAGAAAGAAGAAAAAAUCUAAGAUUUUUAUGAAAAUUAUAUAUAUGUAUAUAUAAAGAGAAAUUUUAUUAACACAUUCCUAAUUACUAGAUACACACAUACCAUACUUAAUACAUCACCUAUUAACUUUAUUAUUUUAACAUUUUACUAGAUACACAUACCCAAAUUUCUUACAAUACCCUCAUUUAAAAUAUACAACUUAUUCACUAAAUACACAACUCAUUCACUAAAUACACAUACUUUUCUAGAUAUGCUACUUAAUUUAUUAAAAGAAAAUUCACAUUAAUGAGAUCUCUUGCGUCACUAGGACACCGAUUUGGCUUGAGAUCUCUCUCAUUGAGUUAGAUCAAUGGCAAGCAAACUAGAAGAGUAUAUAUAUAUAAUUGUAUAUAGCACCAUCCUAAGUUCUAGUUUGGUGUUCAAAUGUAAAUGCUUUUGAACCUAGCAUGUGUGAACAGUAAAAAAUAAAAUUUUCCAACUUCAAUUUGUACCGUCUAAUCAAACAACAAACCCUAUAAUCUAAAUUUUCUAGUAGAUCAAUUUUUAUCAAAGAUAGAGAAGUCAUACCUUGUUUAAGGGUUGAGAAAUACCCCUGGAAUCCAUUACAUUGUCUUUAGUUUUUGCUUGAAACUAUGGCUGUCGCUAGCUAUUUCUGAUUAGGGUUUGAUAUCUUCACAUACGUUGUUCUUGUAGAGGAGAAUAAUAGUCUUAAGCGGGUAUUUUUUUUUUUUAAACUAGGUUUCUUUACUUUUGAUAUAAAUGUCUCUUUUGGUAAUUUUAUGUACCUACAAAGUCUUAUCUAAUUUAUAUAAAAAAUAAUAUGUAUAUAACACUUAGGGAUGUGUUGAUAAAAUUUCUCAUAUAUAAUUUUUUUUUGAUGUCCUCGAAUUUGUAGUGCAUGAGGCCGCGGCCUCUCAGCCUCUUAGGCCUCCCCUCAGGUACAGACCUGGUUUAAGCAAUAACCAAUAAGAGUGUACACACCACCAAUCUGGCUGGGGUUGGGACCGGUCGGCUCUUAUCAAGAAGAUAAUUUCCAUAACCUUCAUACAUAUAUCUCACUUCUCUCAUCAUCUGCAUCCCCGAUCUUUACGCUAGCUGCGCGCGAUGGUGUGCUCUAAGAACUUUGAGAUUUCCAUCCCUAUAGCUAGCUCUCUCAUGAAUCUCAUUCCUUAGCUCUUUCUCCUUCGGUAUUUCACUAGCACCUCUACACCUGUGCUUUUUGCGUCUCCCUGAUCCUUACGGAAUCGAACAAUGAACAUAUAUAGAUUAGCCAGAUCCUAGAUUUAUAAGUGCAUGGUGCCAAACUCAUGCCCUGUAGAUCAAGAGUGGAAUAGGUACACAAGAGAAUUGGAUGCCUUUGAUCCAUGCCAUAUGCCCAGUACGUGUCCCUUUCCUCUCUCACUUGAUCGACCUCAUAACCCUCCUGCAUGAGAACCAACUUCGUCGGAAAGGCUAAUGACCAAAGGGUUUUCUCCUCAAAUACUGAAAUAUAUGUCGCAUCUCAAUUGGCUUCAGUCACAGUUACAUGCCCGUGACCAACGCAAAGUAAUUCUACCGCAGAAUUCUUUCACGAUGAUAAUCCGCCAACAUCCCAACUCCAACUCUCAGCUCAAGUAACUGUCAUGCAUGUCUUUGAAUAUUCUGCGAUAAGAUUUAGUGUGGACAUUGAGGUCUCAUAUAUAUUUUGGGGUUUUGAUUAUUUUCCCCACCUAAUGUACGUAUGGUGUCUCAAACUACACCAUGAUUCUAUAUAUGCUUAUAUGACCACAAUUGAUGAAGAUUGUACCCAGUAUGUUGAUCAUGAAAUGGAUUUAUAACAACCAGAUUAAUACUAGAACCUAAUUCCAAAUACCCGAGAAAGUUAUCUAAGAACUUCCCCAAUGAACUCAUUUCCAUUAUUCCGAUCUUCGCUUCCCAGUUUAAUUCAUUUCCUUAUUGUCAUUUGCUCUAGGAUGGCGACUAGACAACAACAUGAGUAAUGAAUCCACUUUAUCAUCAUAAAAACCAAUAUGUUCUCAACCAAAUUCCACGCUAGCUAUGGAAUUAGUUCUUUCAACCAAAAAGUAUGAAGAAAGUAUUAAAAAGAUGACAAUGACACAAUUAGCAUAAGAAAACUUUCGAACUUACACUAAUAAGAGAAAAAAGAAACUAGUGAAACCUUCAAUUUUGCUUUCCGAAAUCAUGACCGAAAAUUCUUUUUUGGUUACUCCAAACAUAUGCGCAUUCUGAUAGUUUGAGAUUUAGCUUGUAGCUUAUUAUUUUCUGUAGUAACUCAAAGUUUUAUUACUCAAAUUUUGUUACUAUUUUUUUUUUAAAAUGAUAAGAAUAAUUUUGGUCUAUGCAUGGUCCCAAAACAAAAGAAAAAAAAAAUGUAAAACAGGUGUUGGAUUGAAGUGUGAUGAAUGAAAGAGGGUUACCAAAAUAAUUGGGACAAUUCACAUGCUCCAUUAUUUAUAGAGAAUCAUAGAGAUGGAUAUAUAGAUAUAGAGAGAGUGGACACGAGGCCACGAUAUGGCACAUGCUGCAAUUAAAUUGUCUCAAGAAUUGCCAAUAUUAUCACAGCAAUCGCUACUACUUACAUUUCAUAUGAGUCACACAAGUCACACACUAUAUAUCAACUAUAUAUAAGGACCUCAUGUAUGACUAAAUAUCUAAUCUCUGUCUCUCAAUUGAAAAAUACCAAUUAGCAUUUCAAAAUAUAAUACCAAUUUGCAGUCAGCGCUGUCAUCGGAUCAUAGAGUGGUUCACUGAAAGAAUCAAUGAAAAAUGUGUUGCAUCUAAAAUCUGCUAAGCUAGCUUUGUUGGAGUUGGCUUCACUUAAACAACAGCAUUCCAACUAGAGAAAAUUAGAUAAAAACCCAAAAUGUUAGAUCUCUUUUAAGAUAAACCCAUAAAUAGUUUUCUUUUAUUUUACACCCACUCCACAUAAGCAAACAUACCAUAUAGAGCAAAUGUCUAUAAUUAAUAGUUUUCUUCAUUUUUCGGUUUCUCUAAUUUGCCUUUCAGACAGUAGAAAGCUAAAUUUGGUAUAUUUCUCAAUUUUAGCAUCAAUUUGAAACUCAAACACUAGCUAAAAUUUAGUUAGAUUUAACUUCGUCAUAAUCAAUUACAUUCUUUAAUUUCUUACCUUGUUA